GAUGAAGAACGCAGCGAAAUGCGAUAAGUAAUGUGAAUUGCAGAAUUCAGUGAAUCAUCGAAUCUUUGAACGCACAUUGCGCCCCCUGGUAUUCCGGGGGGCAUGCCUGUUCGAGCGUCAUUUCAACUCUCAAGCUCUGCUUGGUAUUGAGUCCAUGUCAGCAAUGGCAGGCUCCAAAAUCAGUGGCGGCGCCGCUGGGUCCUGAACGUAGUAAUAUCUCUCGUUACAGGUGCUCGGCGUGCUUCUGCCAAAACCCCAAUUUUUCUAUGGUUGACCUCGGAUCAGGUAGGGAUACCCGCUGAACUUAAGCAUAUCAAUAAGCGGAGGA
rnacentral:misc_RNA from 1 species